rnacentral:rRNA from 1 species
AGAGUUUGAUCAUGGCUCAAGGACGAACGCUGGCGGCGCGCUUAAUACAUGCAAGUCGAACGAGAAGCCAGAGCUUGCUCUGGUGGAAAGUGGCGAACGGGUGAGUAACACGUGAGAAACCUGCCCCAAAGAUUGGGAUAAGCCUUGGAAACGAGGUCUAAUACCAAAUACCUCCUUUUAACACAUGUUAAAAAGAGAAAUGCUCCGGCGCUUUGGGAUGGUCUCGCGAUCUAUCAGCUUGUUGGUGAGGUAAACGGGCUCACCAAGGCAUCGACGGAUAGCUGGUCUGAGAGGAUGUCCAGCCACAUUGGAACUGAGACACGGUCCAAACUCCUACGGGAGGCAGCAGUAGGGAAUCUUGCACAAUGAGGGAAACCUUGAUGCAGCGACGCCGCGUGCGGGACGAAGGCCCUAGGGUUGUAAACCGCUUUCAGUAGGGACGAAAGUGACGGUACCUACAGAAGAAGCCCCGGCCAACUAUGUG